GCCCAGAUGGUGGAAUUGGUAGACACGCUAUCUUGAGGGGGUAGUGGCGAAAGCUGUGUGGGUUCGAGUCCCACUCUGGGCACCA
rnacentral:tRNA from 1 species